GAAUAUAUAUUAAUUGAUUUGUAUUUCAUGGAGUGAAAUAAGUAUUUGAUCCCUUAGUAUUCAUUAGCAGUUCUGGCUUUUACAGACCAGUUAGACACUCCCAAUCAACUUGUUACCUGACCUGAAGCCACCUGUUCUCACUAAUCACUUGUGUGAAAAACACCUGUCCACAGAAUCAGACAGAUCACACAGAUUUCAAGUCUCCAACAUGGGUAAAAUCAAAGAGCUGUCACAGGACCUCAGAGUCAGAAUUGUUGACCUUCACAAAGCUGGAAUGGGCUACAAAAAGAUUAGUAAGGUGUUGGAUGUGAAAGUAACAACUAUUGGUGCAAUUAUCAGAAAGUUUAAAGAGUAUAACAUGACAAUCAACAGACCUCGGCCCGGUGCUCCAAAGAAGAUUUCGCCUUGUGGGGUGGCAAUGAUGCUGAGAACGGUCAGAAAUCGUCCUGCAACCACUCGGCAGGAGUUAGCAAAUGACCUGAAGGCAGCUGGGACCACAGUUUGCAAGGAAACAAUUGGCAACACUUUGCGCAACAAUGGAUUCACAUCCUGCAGUGCCCGAAAGGUACCCCUGCUGAAGAGAGUACAUGUGGAGGCGCGCCUCAAGUAUGCCAAUGAUCAUUUGAAAGAUGAACCAAGUUAUUGGGAGAAGGUUUUGUGGUCAGACGAGACCAAAAUUGAACUUUUUGGCCUCAACUCCACCCGCCAUGUGUGGAGGAAGAAAAAUGCUGCCUAUGACCCCAAGAACACUGUGCCCACCGUCAAGCAUGGAGGUGGAAGCAUAAUGUUUUGGGGGUGUUUCUCUGCCAAGGGUACAGGGCUACUUCACCGCAUCACUGGGAAGAUGGAUGGAGCCAUGUACCGCAAAAUCCUGAGGGACAACCUCCUCCCCUCAGGGAUCUGAAAAUGGGCCGUGGUUGGGUCUUCCAACAUGAUAACGACCCUAAACAUACAGCAAAGGCAACAAAGGAUUGGCUCAAGAAAAAUCACAUUAAGGUCAUGGAGUGGCCCAGCCAGUCGCCAGACCUCAAUCCGAUCGAAAAUCUAUGGAGGGAGCUGAAGGUCAGAGUUGCCAAGCGACAGCCCACCAACCUUCAUGAUUUAGAGAGGAUCUGCAAAGAAGAGUGGGCCAAAAUUCCCCCUGGUGUGUGUGCUAAACUUGUGGUUAACUACAACAAACGUCUCACCGCUGUGCUUGCAAACAAAGGCUUUGCCACUAAGUAUUGAGUGUGUUUGGCAAGAGGGAUCAAAUACUUAUUUUCCUCAUUGAAAUACAAAUUAAUUAAAAUAUAUUCUUUAAAAUUAUAUUCUGGAUUUUUGUCUUGAUAUUCUGUCUCUCCAUGUUAGAAUAUAUCUACCAUUAAAAGUGUAGAAGGAUAGUGUCUUUAUUAGUGGGCAAACAAAGAAAAUCAGCAAGGGAUCAAAUACUUCUUGGACUCACUGUAUAUGCCUCUGAACAUUAAGGGAGAGGACAUGCUAACAGACUGACAUGAAUGUAUGUAAUUUUUAGGCCAUUUGCAUAAAUAUUCUCCUCAUGUUACAUUAUUAUUCCUUAUACUUAUACAGCGCCUUUGUAGAACCUAAGGACGCUUCAAAAUCAACACUCUACACUAUCUUCCACUCAGCACUCCUCCAAUCAACACACACUGGCAAGAAGCAGCAUCCAUUCUCACAAUGAGGUGGCAGUCCAUCUCUGGGCAUACAAAUACACACCACCAGGCAAAUGUUGCUGACUAAAAAUUUUAUUUAUACUGAUAUUGAUCCCCAGAGAAGAACUUUGUGUGUAGCAACAAAUCUAACACAAUAUAUAGCAUAAUGCUAUAAUUCUAUAUAACUUUUAUUGUUAUGUUAUGAUGGCCAAAUACAUUCAAACAACAAUUGUUUAAUCAUACCAGUUCUGGUUUGGACUGUACAAAAUUUUCUACAGCCUCAAAUUGCAUGUGAACAGACAUUUUUUUUUCCUGUUAAAGUCUUUUGAGAAUUAUGAUAAGUUGCCUGGCAUAUUAUGUUGGCAACAUAUUUAUACAUAUAAAACACAAAGAGUUGUUAAUAAAAACAAAUUACCUUUCAGUUCUAAAGCAAAAAUCAUGAUUCCUAGUAUUCCAUGUUGUCUCAUAAAAAUAAGAAUGUUUUCUAAACAACAUUAAACAUAAACAAAUAAACACAUUUCCAAACCAAACCAUUCUUCAGUUAUAUUGGAAUGAUGUAGAAUCUAUAUAAAGCACCAAACUGUAUCCUGCCAUCAAAAAGUGUCCAAAUACUCCCACCUUGUUACUUCAAGUGUCUUAAUUAUUAGAAUUAAAUCUGAAUUAGACCAAGCCACAUAAUCAUGCAAGUGUUAACAAGCCUAAGAUACAUUUGACACAUAUACAAAUCUGAUCAUUUAAACCACUUUAGGAGGUGGUCUGAGACACAUUUGAUCCACAUGUUAUAACUUUAAAUGCAUCCAUCCAAAUGCAUGCCGGUGCAGCACCAUGACUGACCACUGGGAGCACUCUAUCAAAGGAUCUGCAAAAGCCUGACUUGGAAAGAUGUUUAAGGCUCCUCCUCUUUGACAACUUGGAAAAAUGUCCUGUUUAAGUCAACCUGCCACACCCUUUUGCAUUCUGUUCAUUAAUCUGUAUAUUAUCUUUUUAUUUUGUUGCAGUUCUCAUUAAUAAAUGUAAUAAAUUUGAUCAAACCUGAGGUUUUAUAUGUUUUUCUUAUUUUCUUAUUCACUUUGUCUUACACUUUUUAAUGACACCUAUGAUAUUAUUAAAACCAGGUUUAUAGUGUUGUAGCACUCGAGUCCGGUUUCGGUCUCAAGACUGGUCUCAAAACCAAAAUCGAGCAUUCUCUGUCUUGUCUCGGACUCAACGUUGUUUAGAAUCUGUCUUGUCUUGGUCUCGGGGUGAGGUGAACUCGGAGAUUGUGGACUCGGAGACUGUGGACAAGACUGGCCGAGUCUGAGUUCUCUGUCUGAGUGAUGUUUCCUGUAUUUUGAAGAGACUGGAGGGGCCGGAGUUUCGCUCAUUCACGCCCACAGCGACAUUUCUCUCCUCCAGUAAACCAAACCGCACCCGGACCGGACGCCAGGCUACAGCGGCGGAGUCACAGGCUGA